GAAGUAAAAGUCGUAACAAGGUCUCCGUUGGUGAACCAGCGGAGGGAUCAUUAUAGAGCCUAUAAAACUCUCAAACCUUUGUGAAUAUACCAGUAUAAGUUGCUUCGGCGGGCAGCCCCAGGGCGGGGCUGUAGCCUUCACGGGCGCCCGCCGGAGGUACCAAACUCUGAUUUCAGUUAUGUUUCUUCUGAGUGGUCUAAGCAAAUAAUCAAAACUUUUAACAACGGAUCUCUUGGUUCUGGCAUCGAUGAAGAACGCAGCGAAAUGCGAUAAGUAAUGUGAAUUGCAGAAUUCAGUGAAUCAUCGAAUCUUUGAACGCACAUUGCGCCCGUUAGUAUUCUAGCGGGCAUGCCUGUUCGAGCGUCAUUUCAACCCUCAAGCUCUGCUUGGUGUUGGGGCCCUACGCUGUAGGCCCUGAAAAACAGUGGCGGACUCGCCGAAGCCUUCUUUGCGCAGUAACGCAUCUCGCAUCGGGGCCCGGCGGGCUUUCUUGCCGUAAAACCACCAAAUUUUACACAAGGUUGACCUCGGAUCAGGUAGGAAUACCCGCUGAACUUAA
rnacentral:rRNA from 1 species